CCCAAACCUAAUCUCCUUCACUCAUUCACUCGAGCACUCGCCUCCUUCUUCUUCCUCUUCGAUAGUCCUCCCUCCUCCGGCCUAAUCCGAUUUAAACCACCAGACGGCCAGACCUCUCCGAGAAUCCAGCAGAUUCGAAGAAAAAUGUGUUUGGUGGUCGAUCCGAAGCUCAACUGCUGAGAAACGAAGGGUUCACUCACUUUAGCCUUCGUUUCUAAACCGAUCUGCCGCUUUCACUCUCUUCCAACGCCGUGACUCGAAGAAGUGGGAGUUCAUCUUCCGAUCUUCGUCUGAGUUCGCACCGUCUUCGAGUCUUCGUCUUCGUCUUCAUCUUCGUCUUUGUCUUCACCGGAGAAAGUUCACAUCGCACCAAAGGUCGCCUCCGUCUCUUAGUUUCUCCCUCUCCUCCGCCAUAGUUGUGAGGCUUAGACACCAAAAUAGGAGCCCGUUGUUCCUCAGGCAAAAGCAAAACUGUGGAGGCCAAUUGAUGGAUGGUACCUGUUGAAUUGCUGGAUAGAGAAUUGGAAAAAUGGCUGCUAAAUUGUUGUAUUUGAAUUAGGACUUUCUAUUUCAAUUGCAUAUUUUUAUUUCAAACUUGGACUUCAUAUUUAAAUUGGGUCAUUGUAUUUCAAACUUUCAAUUGCAGGUAUUGUGAUUGACUUGUAUUUGAAUUUGGAUUUUAUGUAUUUUGGAUAUUUCAAUUUGCAGCUUCAA